AUUUGUUGUUAGUCGUUGUUUCUGUGUUCUCCAAUUUGGUGCGACAAAAAUCAAUCUUCUUCUUUGCUUUCUCUUCUUAUCUUCUCCUUCCCAAUCCAAUUGCACUCGAAGAAGAAGAAGAUGCGGCGCUCUGCUACAAGGAAGACCGGUCAACCCAAUUCAGCUUCCGUUAAUUCUUCCGCCGUCGAUCUCUUUCGUUCCGCUUCAAGUCGAGCAAGCUCAAAAGAGUUGGAACGGAUCGAUAGCCUAUUUUACUCAUAUGCCAAUGGCUCUUCUGGUUUGAUCGAUCCAGAAGGAAUUGAAAGUCUUUGUUCAGACAUGGAAGUGAAUCCCACUGAUGUAAGAAUCUUGAUGCUUGCGUGGAAAAUGCAAUCUGAAAAACAAGGAUACUUUACCCUGGAAGAAUGGCGCACAGGCCUCAAGUCCCUGAGGGCAGACACUGUUAGUAAAUUAAAGAAGGCUCUACCAGAUCUUGAGAAAGAGGUAAGGAGGCUGUCAAACUUUGUGGACUUCUAUUCUUAUGCAUUUCGGUAUUGUUUAACAGAGGAUAAGCAAAAGAGUAUUGACAUAGAGAGUAUAUGCGAGUUGCUGGAUCUUGUUUUAGGGUCCGAGUUUCAUGCCCAAGUCCAUGCAUUUAUCGAAUACUUGAAGAUACAAAGUGACUAUAAGGUUAUUAACAUGGAUCAAUGGAUGGGCUUCUUUCGAUUCUGCAAUGAGAUAAGUUUUCCAGACCUGAGCAAUUACGACUCAGAACUCGCUUGGCCGUUGAUCCUCGACAAUUUCGUCGAAUGGUUACAAGCAAAACAGAGCUAAAAAACCUGAUGUCUUCAUCAUACAAUGUAUUUGAUGUAUACGCCAUAGUUAUUGAAGCUCAUCUUCGAUUACACAUUUGCAUAGCAGCAGGAUUUUCACUCAUUAUUCCUUUACUCUCUCAACUUCUUUGAAAUCAAUGGUAAUCCCCAUUAUGUUAAAAUUAUCAUUUCAAACAUUCAUGGAUUAUUCUUCUGCUAAUUUACUACAGUUUCUUCCCAUUCUUCAUCAUCACGUUAGCCAUUCAAUUGACUGACUACUUUGCAGACUUUUUGUGUAUCCUUUAAAACAAUUUAAACCAAACCCUUUGAAUGAACGAAAGCAAAAGGCUUUAUCACA